UACGUAGGGGGCAAGCGUUAUCCGGAUUUACUGGGUGUAAAGGGAGCGUAGACGGCGAUGCAAGUCUGAAGUGAAAGGCGGGGGCCCAACCCCCGGACUGCUUUGGAAACUGUAUAGCUGGAGUGCAGGAGAGGUAAGUGGAAUUCCUAGUGUAGCGGUGAAAUGCAUAGAUAUCAUGCAGAACUCCGAUUGCGAAGGCAGCAUACCGGCGCUCAACUGACGCUCAUGCACGAAAGUGUGGGUAUCGAACAGG
rnacentral:rRNA from 1 species